ACAGGAGAGGUGGUGGAAAUGAUCAGAGUUGCAUUCAACUAGAAUAAAGAUGAGAAACUCUGGUCUGUGGAGCCACUGGUCUGAGGGGAGGACUUCUGUUGAAACCAUUUCCAUUUUUGGGAUAUUUUCUAGGACUGUAGAGGUGGUAAGCAGAGAUGAAUUUAACUAGGAUACAGAUGAGAGUCUCUGUUCUUGGGAGGAGGGUCACUGACCUUCGAUGGUUUGUUGCCUGAUAAAGAGGAUACUUGCUGGCUUGAGGAGACUAUAAUGUUUUGAGGAGGAAAUGUGGCUCGAUGACUUAAAGAGGAGGAGGAAUUAUUGGGCGACACUUUUAAUUACCAACGUAACCUCAGUGGAACUGUGGCUUCAUCGAGUUCCAGCUCUAGGCAGACAGCAGGUCAGGAAUGCUGUAAGACAUCACAGAGACAGAUGCUUGGCUUUUUCUUUGUCUUUGUGUUGGAGAUUGGCUCUGAUGUGUCAGCCUCUUCUGGAGCUUCUAGCUGCUGGCUGUCUGGCCCCCCCUGAUGGUUCUCUGGCCCCUCCUGCUGGUUCUCUGAACUCCCCUCCUGGUUCUCUGCCCAUGCCUGUUGCCUCCUUGGCCUUUCCUGGUGGCCAUCAGCAGAUCCAGUGGGCUCUUGGCUUACUUGUUGGCCUGUGGCCCAUCCGGGCAACUCCUGACCGUGGUUGUAAUCGUGGCUGUGUUGGGUGGUUAGACACCGGGUGUUGAUUUGAGCAUCAGCCUCCAGAUUCAUCUGAUCCAGGAGGGGGUAAGAAGACAGUCCCAGUAGGAGACGGAGAUCGUCCAGAAGAAGAAGAGGUGUCCAUCUCCUCAGAGACUGCAGGAAAGGUCUACAAGUUUUAUUUCUGGAAAAUAAAGAGAUGCCUUCGUUCAGC